GACGAACGCUGGCGGCGUGCUUAACACAUGCAAGUCGAACGGUGAAGCGCCUUCCUUUUUGGUGGGUGUGGAUGAGUGGCGAACGGGUGAGUAACACGUGAGUAACCUGCCCCCUUCUUCUGGAUAACCGCAUGAAAGUGUGGCUAAUACGGGAUAUUCUGGGUCUGUCGCAUGAUGGGUCUGGGAAAGAUAUUGUUUCGGUGGGGGAUGGGCUCGCGGCGUAUUAGCUUGUUGGUGGGGUGAUGGCCUACCAAGGCGACGACGCGUAGCCGGCGUGAGAGGAUGAUCAGCGACACUGGAGCUAAGGCACGGUGCAGACGCCUACGGGGGGCGGCAGUGGGGAAUAUUGUACAAUAGGGGGAGGCCUGAUCCAGCCGUACCGCGUGGGUAAAGAUGGCCUUCGGGUUGUAGAGCCCUUCUGUUGGGAAAGAAAAGCAGCUGGUUAAUAUCUCGCUGGUCUGACGGUACCUAAAGAAUAAGCACCGGCUAACUUCGUG
rnacentral:rRNA from 1 species